UUCUACCUAGGCCCAGAGGAUGCAGGGAGAAGAGAGCUCACCCGCCAGACACGUCCCCUCACUGGCACGUCAUAUCAGGCUUCCCCAACGCCUCAGGCCCUUUGGCAAAUAAAAUCAAAAGCUCAUUUCUAGGCACAUCCUAAAGGAAGCGACAUGUUCUUCUGCUGUACUGAAGCCGAGAGGAUGCAGGGAGAAGAGAGCUCGCCCGCCAGACACGUCCCCUCCCUGGCAGGUCAUAUCAGGUUUCCCCAACGCCUCAGGCCCUUUGGCUAAUAAAAUCAAAAGAGUCCAACGGAAUUGGAACCCACGUAUCCAGGCACCCCAUUACAGAGAAAACCCCCCUGCCCAGCUCAUUUCUAGGCACAUCCUAAAGGAAGCGACAUGUUCUUCUGCUGUACUGAAGCCGAGAGGAUGCAGGGAGAAGAGAGCUCGCCCGCCAGACACGUCCCCUCCCUGGCAGGUCAUAUCAGCUCAUUUCUAGGCACAUCCUAAAGGAAGCGACAUGUUCUUCUGCUGUACUGAAGCCGACAGGAUGCAGGGAGAA